GACGAACGCUGGCGGCGUGCUUAACACAUGCAAGUCGAGCGGAAAGACCCGGCUUUUGUGGGGUGCUCGAGUGGCGAACGGGUGUGUAACACGUGAGUAACCUGCCCUUGACUUUGGGAUAACUUCAGGAAACAGGGGCUAAUACCGGAUAGGAGCUCCUGCUGCAUGGGGGGGGUUGGAUAUUUACGGCCGUUGGGUUUAGACUCGAGGCUUAUCCGCUUGUUGGUGGGGUAGUGGUUUACCAAGGCUUUGACGGGUAGCCGGCCUGAGAGCGUGACCCGCCUCAUCAGGCCCGCGGCAGCAACCAGAAGACUAUGUGACGCAGCGGCGGGAAAUCUUCCCAAACGAGCGGAAGUCAGAUACAGAAACGUCACGUGCGGGAUGACGGCCUAUGGGGUGAAAACCGCUUUCUAAAUUGACGAAGACUAAGUGACGGUAACGACUAAACAAGCACCGGCUAACUACGUG
rnacentral:rRNA from 1 species